CAGAGAACUUCAAACAGUAAACGUGAGAACAUCAAAUGUCAAGGGAUUAUGGCUCUGCAAAACCAAGAGCCUGAGAGAGAGAGAAAGAGAGAGAGAGAGAGACACGACAAGCAGAACAGCAGAGGAAAUAUCAGCCUCCACAUGAUGCCAAACCAUCGAUUGAAAUUCAGAUGUGAGUCUAGGUUGGAGGGAGGAUAAAUUUGUCCACUUGAUCUCUGACUGGCAUACUACUACCUUACCAGAGGGUAUCUACUGCUCUGCCCAGAGAUAUUAUCACAACUUCACUCCUCAGAGGAAAAGCACACACACAGUCACAAACUCACAAACAGAGACUAUUCCAAUGCAUUCUAGGAUUGCCUUCUCCAGGGAAAGAUGCUGGCUUGUAAUGUAAAAAUGACAGUAAAGUCAUUUAUAACGUUAUAAAAGAUUUCAAUUUCAAAUG